CGCGUAGGUGGUUAUUUAAGUCAGAUGUGAAAGCCCCGGGCUUAACCUGGGAACUGCAUCUGAUACUGGAUAACUAGAGUAGGUGAGAGGGGAGUAGAAUUCCAGGUGUAGCGGUGAAAUGCGUAGAGAUCUGGAGGAAUACCGAUGGCGAAGGCAGCUCCCUGGCAUCAUACUGACACUGAGGUGCGAAAGCGUGGGUAGCAAACAGGAUUAGAUACCCUGGUAGUCCACGCCGUAAACGAUGUCUACCAGUCGUUGGGUCUUUUAAAGACUUAGUGACGCAGUUAACGCAAUAAGUAGACCGCCUGGGGAGUACGGCCGCAAGGUUAAA
rnacentral:rRNA from 1 species